UGUUGCCUGGCGACCAGCACAGUAGGAGGCGGUUCAGCAAGGCGCUGCGUAGAGACCCUAUGAAGAGGUUGCUAACCAAGCCUUCAUGAAACAGGGAACCAGAACUGAAACCAACUGAGACUGGGUCAGACCAGUGACAGGCCAGACCCACCCCUCCCACUGGACACUCCAGCAAGGCAUCUGGGGCCUGCCAUAGCAGAGAGCUGAAGUCACCUGAGUUCAGCGAAGGGGAUCCCUUCCCAGCUGAAUUGGCUUUAGCAGGUUUAACAGAUGACUCAAAGAAAGGACCAGAGUUCAACAUACUUAUUAAUUUAUCAUGCUGUGAAGACUGAGAAAGAUCUGAGCUGAAUACUGCCACUAGAACCAAGACUUAUAAUGGAACAGUAUGUUCACAGAAUGUUCAGGUUUCAAAUAAAGCAACUUGGAUUGUUA